rnacentral:lncRNA from 1 species
GUUAAUAGGUUGAAGAAAGCAUUCUUCAUUGUAUCAGCCACAACCACGACGCAAGGAUUUCAAUUUCGCAAAAUAGAGACUUGAUCAAAGUGCGACUUCACGCGCACUCUCUCGUCUCUCUGGGUACUUUGAGUCUCUCGACUUUUUGCGAUUUUUUUGUUGAAUCCAUUCACAUUUGAUAGGAGAAAUUUUUAGUUUUUUAGAAUCUUAUUUUAUUAUGUUUGUUAUUUUAAAAAAUUAACAUUUAUGAGAACUGAUGUGUUUCUCAAUAAUAAUUUUUAAACAGUUUUUUUAUGAAAACUUUUUCAUGUGGAUUGACAAUCUUAUUUUUUGAGCUUAAUU